AUGCUAUGGGAUCGGAGUUCCUCUGACGGGUCUUCGAAUUCUCUCAGGUUUCUAUAUGUUGUUGGUAGGGAAGAAAGUGUGAUGAGGCUGAAGCUUUCCAUUCUUGUGCAAAAUUGGGACAUCUUGAGUGCAGGCUUUAGGGCAGGCUUGGACUGGGGCUGGGCAGCAGUGCAUUUUUGUUGUUUUGUGGCAAGUUGUGGAUAG